rnacentral:lncRNA from 1 species
UCCUACAAGCAGGAAAUGCUCCAGGAAGUUCAGGACUAUUUCUCUCCACUGAUGCUAAGCCUCGAUUGAAAUGGACACCAGAGCUCCAUCAACGUUUUAUAGAAGCAGUGAAUCAACUGGGUGGAGCAGACAGUGAGCAUACAGAUAAAGAAGAAUACAAAAGAAUAGCAGCAAAAUUUGCUUCUUCCAGUAGAAAAUGAAUUCUUUCAAGUUUGCUAAUUCAAAAUUUUCAUGUUUCAGGGGCUACUCCAAAAACAGUUAUGAGGCUCAUGAGCAUUCCAGGACUGACUUUAUAUCACCUAAAAAGCCAUCUCCAGGUACCAAUAGAUUCUCUAUUUUUCACUUGAAAAUUUUGAUCUAUGAACACUGAAAAUAAGUUGGUAUUCCGGUUUUCAGAAAUACAGGCUUAGUAAAAAUUUUCAAGCUCAAGCUUGUUCUGGGACUACCAAGAAAGGUAGGAAAGCAGUCUCCCAAAGUUUAUCUUGGACAUCUUUAACAUAUGGAAUGAUGUAAAAUUAGAUUCACCAUUUCAGUUAUAGGAUCUGUAAUAGCAGCUGACAGGACAUCUGAAGUGAGUGGACCACUAAUCAGCAAUACAAACAUUGCCUCUCAUUCAUACAAGUAAGUUGUCAAAAAAGCAAACACUAGAUUAUUCUUCUAAGAAAGUGGCACUGAUUGUAUGUUUCUGAAUCUCAGAACCAUGCAAAUAAGUGAAGCACUUCAGAUGCAAAUUGAAGUGCAAAGACAGCUACAUGAGCAACUUGAGGUGAGGGCCGGUAACUAAAUAGCUAAUACUGUUUCAAAUGAUGACUGACCAACCAACAAAAUCCUGCUUUGGGUGAUAAACUCUGCAUUUUGAAGCACCUUUAUUUUAAUAAUAUGAACAAAAAGAAGAUUCAAUCAUAAGCAGCAUUCAACUGCAGGCACAGUUUUAGUGCUAAAUGCCUUAUGAUUUGUUUUACAGUAUUACAUAAUGAUAAAAUAGCGACAUCAUGACAAAGCACACAGACAGAUAGAAAUCCUGCCACCCCAAGAAACACGAGAGGUAUACAGAUGCAAUCAAGUUUGCUUCCAAUUUUCAUGAUGUAAAUGAAGAGGAAGAGGGUGGUGCCAAUCUUUGAAUUCUUGCCAAUUUUAUAACAGGAAGAGCCCCUGGCCACCAAGGCAUGAGGGGUAUUGCUAAUUUUCAUGACAUAAAAUGACAUGAAUGAAACAACAAAAAACCUUCAGUUUAUUAGUUCUGGUUGUUUAACACAUAAAGUAAAUGUGGCGCAAAGAAUAUGUGUGAUUCCCAUUUUUUAAUCUACUCAAAGGGUUAAAAGUUGCAAGAAAGCUACCCUGGACUGAAAUAAUAAAGUUCCUUUUUUCUUCUGUCCUUUUCCACCUGGCUAGUCUCUCAUAUCAUGCCAAUAGAUAGAAGACAAGCCUUGGUCUAAACCAGAGAUUAUACUGGAAUCAAACAGGUGCAGAGGC